rnacentral:rRNA from 1 species
CGGCGACCGGCGCACGGGUGAGUAACACGUAUGCAACCUGCCCCUGUCAGGGGGACAACCCGCCGAAAGGCGGGCUAAACCCGCGUACAUGCCACCGGGGCAUCCCGGAGGCAGGAAAGGCUUCGGCCGGACAGGGAUGGGCAUGCGGCGCAUUAGGCAGUAGGCGGGGUAACGGCCCACCUAACCGACGAUGCGUAGGGGUUCUGAGAGGAAGGUCCCCCACACUGGUACUGAGACACGGACCAGACUCCUACGGGAGGCAGCAG